AGUAUGAAUGCUGGAUCAUAUGGUAACUGUAUGUUUAGUUUUAUAAGAAACUGCCAAACUGUAUUCCAAAGUGGCUGUAUCAUUUUUGCUUUCCUACCAGCAAU
rnacentral:pre_miRNA from 1 species